rnacentral:rRNA from 1 species
UACGUAGGGGGCAGGCGUUGUCCGGAUUUAUUGGGUUUAAAGGGUGCGUAGGCGGGACAGUAAGUCAGUGGUGAAAUCCUAUCGCUUAACGAUAGAAUUGCCAUUGAUACUGCUGACCUUGAGUACAAAUGAUGUGGGCGGAAUGUGCAGUGUAGCGGUGAAAUGCUUAGAUAUUGCACAGAACACCGAUAGCGAAGGCAGCUCACAAAAAUGUAACUGACGCUGAGGCACGAAAGUAUGGGGAUCAAACAGG